AUGAUGGCCAGAACGUAUACAAUUGGAGACGACAGGAAGUGGUUGCCAAGUCUCCUGGGGUGGCAGAAUUUAAGGAAAGAUGGCCUGCCCUCUUCGAACCAUUCCUGGUAAAUGAUUUAUCAUUCUAUUUUUCCUGACCAAGUUUCCAUUGUGACUUGGACAUGACAUACUAGACUCACUUUUUGCCUGAAAAUGUAUACUAAAACCCUUAAUGUCAGUAACGGUCAACAUUUGCUGUCUUACAGAUUAAAGGGGAACAUUAUCACCAGACCUAUGUAAGCGUCAAUAUAUACCUUGAUGUUGCAGAAAAAAGACCAUAUAUUUUUUUUAACCGAUUUCCGAACUCUAAAUGGGUGAAUUUUGGCGAAUUAAACACCUUUCUAUUAUUCGCUCUCGGAGCGAUGACGUCACAACGGGAAGCAAUCCGCCAUUUUCUCAAACACCGAGUCAAAUCAGCUCUGUUAUUUUCCGUUUUUUUCGACUGUUAUCUGUACCUUGGAGACAUCAUGCCUCGUGGGUGUGUUGUCGGAGGGUGUAACAACACGAACAGGGACGGAUUCAAGUUGCACCAGUGGCCCAAAGAUGCGAAAGUGGCAAGAAAUUAGACGUUUGUUCCGCACACUUUACCAACGAAAGCUAUGCUACGACAGAGAUGGCAAGAAUGUGUGGAUAUCCUGCGACACUCAAAGCAGAUGCAUUUCCAACGAUAAAGUCAAAGAAAUCUGCCGCCAGACACCCAUUGAAUCUGCCGGAGUGUGUGAGCAAUUCAGGGACAAAGGACCUCGGUAGCACGGCAAGCAAUGGCGGCAGUUUGUUCCCGCAGACGAGCGAGCUAAACCCCCUGGAUGUCUUGGCUCACUGAUACAGGACCCAAGUGCCUCUGCAGUGAUGAAGAUUUUGGGAGAGAGUGGACAGGAGCUAAUCUCUGACUACUGUGGAAGUGCAGAGACCACUGUUCAUGAGGACCUGGAAAUGAAGAAUAUGAGCAUCUACAUCUGUCGUGAGCCAAAUGCAGUAGGAAUCAUCAUUGAGGGAAUACCAGUCCUUACUCAUCUUGGAAACCUGGCCAAAGCCUGCUGCUUACCUCUGGGGUUGACGUAUGCACUUAAUCUUGAGUAUCCAUCCAAACUUUCCAAAACAUUUGAGGUGUUUCAAAGACUUUUUGUGGGACUCGACACACUGCGCCCAAAACCAACCCCCAAAUUCAUGACUCUCAAAAACAAGCUUCUAGCUUAGGCAGUGAGCCAUGACUGUCAGCUUGCACUUUUGAACAGCUAUUUUCUUGUCUGUUCAAAAUCAUUAUACAUUGUUCAUUGAGUGGAAUUCUUCAGAAUGUUGUAACGGUUUGUCCUCUUCAGGUUUUAUACAAAGCUCCAGGUCAUCGUUUCUGGUGUGUAAAUGAAGUUGUUUUAUGUUUUAUACACACUAAAUUGCCCCACUGUGAAGCUCCAGCUGGUCAGAAAGAGGGAUCUGUGAGUUGUUUAAGUUCAAAUGUUUCAAAAUAUACACACUGAAAGACACUAUGGUGAAGGUGUUCUGCUUGUGAAUUGUUACAGAAGUACAGAUAAUCUUAAUGUUAAAUUGUUUUAGCAAGAAACUAUACUGUGAAUGUUCUAAGUACAACUUGAGAUGCUGAGGUCAUGCAUUCUUUUAUGCACUAAAUACUGAUGUUCUUGACUGUUAAUACUGUCCAGCUUAUUGACACGGUUUGGAUAUGGCUUGUGAAAACGUUUGAAUAAUAUGUAUACGGUUAAAAAAAGAAAACUACUGUGACGGUGUUCUAUACAGCACUUUAAAAAGUUGAGGUCAUGCAUUCUAUGCACUAAAUAUGGAUGUUGACUGUUCAUACUGUCCAGCUCAUUGCCACUGUUUUUAUAUGGUAAUGAUUUAA